ensembl:lncRNA
ACACACACACACACACACACACACACAGCAGCUCACUGUGGUAUGAACCUUCCAUGAGCAAUUCCCUCCCUCCUUUUUUUUCUUCUUUUCUCUUCCAGCCAACGGGUUUUUUUUAUUCUGACGCCUCUAUAGCUUUAAUACUUCUUUCUUCUUCUGUUGCCUGGCUCAGCGACACGAACACACUCCCCCUUACUGUAAACGCUGUUUGAGCAUGGAAACUGUUUCUCGAAAAGAAAAAAUGGAUUCCUGCCGCCUUAUGUGCCCUGCAGUAACCCCUCCCCCUCCCUCCUGCCCGCACUUCUCCCCCCGUCCCACCUCGUUCUCUCAAGGUGUGCCUCCCUCAACCCAACUUGAGUACCGAGAACGAACUUUGCAUCUCGUGCGAGUGACGUUUGUGCAUCUGCGAGUGUGUUUGUCAGCGACAGGAGAAAUUUUAAAAACCGACCUUCCUGUCCCUCUUCUGUGCAUCGAUGUGGGAACUUUUAAAUCCUAGUUCAUGAACUUUGACCUUUGACCAGGCACUCAUUCAGUCCCUUGUGAUGGUUGAGAAAGGGAGGUUACGUGGGGACUCGAGAGGAGCCCUACUGUCUACACACAGUCAAUGUUUUAUUUAUGGACCUCUGCACUUUUGGCUGUGAUGACUUCAGUACUUAAGUAGUUACCUGAACUGUAUUUUUAAGGAUUUUAUACAAUAUUUACAUGCAAUACGAUAUGAAUUGAUUUUUUUUUUUUUUUUUUGCCAACCUUUUUUUUAUGUCACCUUGUUUUGUUUUCUUAUUUAAUUGUCAUUAUUUUGGCAUGAUUUGUCACUAUUAUUCACAAAACAAACAUUGCUAGGUAUAAAACAUGGAUGGGGAUGUUCCCACAAUGUUUUGUUUUUUCUGAUGACAGCUGAACACCAAGAAGAAGCAGGUGUAGGAAAAUGUUUGCUGGAUGAGCUAAACUUGAGAACGAGUCAAUUUGUUUCAGGGAACUAAACUCUGCUUUUUUUCUGUAUCCUGUCCAGAGGGGAUUUGAGUCUUUGUUUUCUACUCUUUCAUAGACGUCUUUUCCCAAACAAAAAAUGGGCCCAACAUUUUAAGUUAUUUUAACUUCAGCCUGAAGAAAUGCAUCAUAGGAAACAAAGGAGUUGGCUGGAGCUGUUCUCAGCACUGCUGCUACCGGAAAAUGCGGAUCCCUUCCGGCGGGGUGCCGUGCCGGCUGUGCCUACGUGUACCAAUCGGUCUUCGCUCAUCGCACACUCCAAAAACUUAAAAACUCACCAGAUCCACGUUCGUCCGAACAGUGUUCCAACAAUCAUCAACGCUCAUCGAAAACAAAUCCUCAAGCCACAGAAUAAGAUCUCCGUUCUCUCCAACGACGUCACUGUCACAUCACUGGAUGCAGGAACAACACAUUUUUCAAAGAGAACAUCGGCAAGAGCUGCAGGCCUUUUUUUAUUUUUUGUUGAAUUUUUUAUUUUUUAACUCCACUGUGCCUCGAUGUGGCUCCUUCUCCAUUGCAACGACUGCUGAGGCUUAUGGGUAUUGUAGUACUCCCAGCCGCCUGCCAACCAAAAUGACAGAUAAAACACAAUUUCUCAUAAACCUGGGUUGAUAAGUUAGAAACUGGGGGCCCUAAUGUAAACCACUGUAACGGUUACGUUUUCUGUACGGGGCCCUUUUGUAAUCUAAUGUGGAGCAACAUUGAACACCGGAAAAAAAAGUGCAAAUGGGUGUAAGGAUUGCAGAGGAAUCCCCCCUGUCCCAUUUACUUUGCAACCCGUUGCUGCUUUGUUGUGUGAAACAUUUCAGCUGAGACUAUAUUAUAUAUAAUAUGUGUAUAAUACAGCAAAGGUAGAAUAUCUACUGUGUGGAUCUUUAGAGGAUGAGGAAAAAAAGCUAAAACAAAGCAGGUGGUUGCAAAUAUGUGUUGGGGGGGUGCGUGCAGACGGGAUGUAUCCUGUGUCAGUGGUCGUCAUAAUGUGUCUGUGACAAGGAUACAGGGAUGCCUGUAUUUAAAAAGGUUUGAUUCUUUUUUUUUGAAAAUGCGGGAGAAAUGUCUGAAAUGUGUUUUCUUAUAUGUGGUCCAAGAAGAACAAACUGGAUGUGCUGAACAAUUUGGUAUUUUUUGAAGAAAAGAAAACUUUGCAUUACAAUGCCACCAUGUGGCCAUAAUGAUGCAAGUUUUUAACGAGGACAAAACAUUGUUAUUUUACUGUUUAUUUUUUAUUUCUAAAUCAUAUUAUUAAUAAAGUCAUUAAGUACUGUUGUCCACGCGUGUGUCCAACCAUCAUUGACCGUUGUGUGACCCGGUCACGGGUGUCCGUAAAGGGUUCACGUAGAGUUCAUGUGAUGGUCAAUGCAGUCCGCGGGGUUAAAAGGACACGCAGCGGGCCGGCCAAUAACGCUCACGAUCCA